CCCACAUCCGAAUCUGGGGGUUGUGUCCUUUGUUGGAUAUUUGUCUCCUUGGGUGAGAUGUUCACACUCCCUGAGGCAGGAGGCAACCGCUGACAUGGGGAGCGCGAACUGCGGCCUGAGGAGCCCGUCCCUCUAGGAACGCAGCAGAGUUAGCUUUGAGUUGGUCUCAGGGCUGACCGUGGUGCUGCUCCUGGAUUGCAUCUGUGUUUCAACAGCUGCCGUCGGCGCUGCAGCCUCACAGGCGAACUUGGAGAGGAUCACCAGCUCCAAAAAUGAUUUCGCUUGGCCAGGCGUUUCCUGGAGCCUCUCAAAUCCACCAAGAUAGAUGAGUGGAGCUAGAAGAGGUUUUGUUUUCUGAAAAGACAAACUGUAUGUAUGUGAAAAAGCCUUGAGAGAAAAGUAGAAUUCUAUGGAGAACGGACGCCUUCCCAAAUGGUGACACUGUCACGGAAAUGUAAUAGAAUAAGGGAGGGGAUACAAACGAAGCUUUUCUGAGUUGCUGAAAGUAAUUUCAAGAAAAAAAAUUCCCUCGUAUAUGUCUUUCAACACACACACAUACGCAUAUGCACGCAUGCGCACACACACAUCUACACACACACACUCUUUAGCACAGAUCGCCUGGAAAGAUCUCGGAAGCUGAUGGCAGCAGAUGGCAGUGAGAUGUGGCAUUUUCAACACAGCCGUCAGGAAAGCAGUCAAGAGCUGAAGUCAGGUUGGCCUUCUGGUUAACAGAUGUACAGUUCUAAUGACAGUGAUGCUGUUGAAAAAAAGAAAAGAUAAAAAGAUGGGGCAGCUCCUAUGAUCUAGAAUCUCUAAGUAUAAAUAGUGCUGAUAAUUUAGCGUUUUGAAUAUGCGUUAC
rnacentral:lncRNA from 1 species